GACAGAGGGUGCAAACGUUGUUCGGAAUUACUGGGCGUAAAGAGCGUGUAGGCGGCCAAACAGGUCCGUUGUGAAAACUGGAGGCUCAACUUCCAGACGUCGACGGAAACCGUGUGGCUAGAGUCCGGAAGAGGAGAGUGGAAUUCCUGGUGUAGCGGUGAAAUGCGCAGAUAUCAGGAAGAACACCAAUGGCGAAGGCAGCUCUCUGGGACGGUACUGACGCUGAGACGCGAAAGCGUGGGGAGCGAACAGG
rnacentral:rRNA from 1 species